GAAGUAAAAGUCGUAACAAGGUUUCCGUAGGUGAACCUGCGGAAGGAUCAUUAUCGAAUUAUAAGCGAGGGUUGUAGCUGGCCUCCCUUUCGAGGCAUGUGCACGCCUGAGCUCUUAAAUCCACAACACACCUGUGAACCCACCGUAGGCCUUCGGGCUUAUGUAUCAUAUACUCUGAAUGUGUCAUAGAAUGUUCAUGUUGCCUUAAAACGCAAUCAAAUACAACUUUCAACAACGGAUCUCUUGGCUCUCGCAUCGAUGAAGAACGCAGCGAAAUGCGAUAAGUAAUGUGAAUUGCAGAUUUUCAGUGAAUCAUCGAAUCUUUGAACGCACCUUGCGCUCCUUGGUAUUCCGAGGAGCAUGCCUGUUUGAGUGUCAUUAAAUCCUCAACCCCACCGAUUUGCUUCGGGGGGAUUGGACUUGGAGCGUGCUGGCGAAGGUCGGCUCCUCUUUAAAUGCAUCAGCGGAGAAGAAAGCUCGUCCCAGUGUGAUAAUCCUGUUGCGCUGUGGUGGGGUGAAAAUUCCGCUUCCAACCGUCCUCCGGGACAAGACAUCUCAAUUKGACCUCAAAUCAGGUAGGACUACCCGCUGAACUUAAGCAUAUCA
rnacentral:rRNA from 1 species